rnacentral:rRNA from 1 species
CCCUUAGAUGUUCUGGGCCGCACGCGCGCUACACUGAUGCAUUCAACGAGUUUCUUCCUGGUCCGAGAGGAAUGGGUAACCUUUUGAAAGUGCAUCGUGAUAGGGAUAGACUAUUGCAAUUAUUGGUCUUCAACGAGGAAUUCCUAGUAGACGUAGUUCAUCAGACUGCAUCGAUUACGUCCCUGCCCUUUGUACACACCGCCCGUCGCUCCUACCGAUUGAAUGCUCAGGUGAGCCAUUCGGACUUUCAUCAUGCUGGUUUCCAGUUUUGAUGAAGGAAAGUCUUGCGAACCUUAUCAUUUAGAGGAAUGAGAAGUCGUAACA